rnacentral:rRNA from 1 species
AUUAAACGCUGGCGGCAUGCUUUACACAUGCAAGUCGAACGGCAGCGCGGGCUUCGGCCUGGCGGCGAGUGGCGAACGGGUGAGUAAUACAUCGGAACGUGCCCAGUAGUGGGGGAUAGCUCGGCGAAAGCCGGAUUAAUACCGCAUACGACCUGAGGGUGAAAGCGGGGGAUCUUCGGACCUCGCGCUAUUGGAGCGGCCGAUGGCAGAUUAGCUAGUUGGUGGGGUAAAGGCCUACCAAGGCGACGAUCUGUAGCUGGUCUGAGAGGACGACCAGCCACACUGGGACUGAGACACGGCCCAGACUCCUACGGGAGGCAGCAGUGGGGAAUUUUGGACAAAGGGCGAAAGCCUGAUCCAGCAAUGCCGCGUGUGUGAUGAAGGCCUUCGGGUUGUAAAGCACUUUUGGCGGGAACGAAAAGGACUGUGCCAAUACCACGGUUCGAUGACGGUACCCGCAGAAUAAGCACCGGCUAACUACGUG